GGGCCCGCACAAGCGGUGGAGCAUGUGGUUUAAUUCGAUGCAACGCGAAGAACCUUACCUACUCUUGACAUCCUCAGAAGGAACCGGAAACGGAUCUGUGCCUUCGGGAACGCAGUGACAGGUGCUGCAUGGCUGUCGUCAGCUCGUGUUGUGAAAUGUUGGUUAAGUCCCGUAACGAGCGCAACCCUUGUCCUUAUUUGCCAGCACGUAAUGGUGGGAACUCUAGAGAAACUGCCUGCGAUGAGCAGGAGGAAGGCGGGGGAUGACGUCAAGUCCUCAUGGCCCUUAUGGGACUGGGCUACACACGGUGCUACAAUGGCGGUGACAGUGGGAAGCAAUAGGGCGACCUGGAGCA
rnacentral:rRNA from 1 species